rnacentral:lncRNA from 1 species
UGGGGAGAUGUGCCCCUUACCAUUUUGGUGAAACAACAGAAGAGGUAGACUUCGGGGCGUGGGUGACUCUGGGGAGCGUGUUUACUGAUGUGGCAAGAGCGACGGCGGCGCUGGAGCUUUUAGUUUUUAGGGUUUCUAAAAUUUUUUUAGGUUUUAGGCUUGGGUUGGUGUAUUUGGGCUUAAGUUUUUUUUAUUUGUUUGGUUUAUUUGUUUCUGUUGGGUCAGACAAAAUUGGCCUGUUACAGCUGCUCCUCUUUGCUCAUUAUCG